GGGUCUUCGGGGCGUCACUCCCAACCCCU
rnacentral:rRNA from 1 species